rnacentral:lncRNA from 1 species
CAGAUCAAGAGCAUCUCAUCCUCCGGCUGCUGAGUCAUCCUGCUCUGGCAGUUAUUUAAACAGAAGGCUCCAGGAGACAUACAAUCAACACUCCACUCAGACAAUGCCCAGACCUCCAGAAACCAUGUGUCAAGCUCGGAUUGCCUUAGACAGGUGCAAUUUAAGAACAGCUUUCAUCCUCUUUUCUCUCAUAUUGUCACACUAUGUGUUCUGACUUCUGGCUCCUUUCCUCACAAGAAGCUCACCCAGCUGGAACUCUUAUGGGACCUUGGCACCAGAGACCACAAAUUCCUCUUUGAAGUUUUCUAACAGCAACAAUGGUAUUUCUGACUUGGCUUUCUUGUAUUUCUCUCACGUUAACAAAAUUGGUUCAGCAUCUACCAUGGGCUACAUGCUGAGCUACAGAGUUUCGCUCUGUCGCCCAGGCUGGAGUGCAGUGGCGCGCGAUCUCGGUUCACUGCAAGCUCCACCUCCCGGGUUCACGCCAUUCUCCUGCCUCAGCCUCCUGAGUAGCUGGGACUACAGGCGCCCGCCACCACACCCAGGAAUCCAACUUGCUGUUUGCUAUCACAUGUGCUAUACAUGCUGUUGAUGAAACUGCUAAAGGGGCUGAAUGUGACUGACGUCUUUGGAAGGAUGAGACUUAGCGUGCCUGUACAGUUGUGUCCAAAUGCUGUCCUCAUCUCCCAAUGAAAAGGGUUUUUCCUUAAGCCUCACAACAAUUUACAGCAUUGCCAGCAGCAUUCAGUACAUUCAGAACAGGAUAAUUUCACCCGCAGCUGAACUAGGGCCAUGCCUGGGACAGACAGAGAAUGGCCUUCCAGCAGACAUGCCAAGAAGCAAGCCAGGGUCAGUGAGUGAAGAGGAGGGCAGGCCCAUUUGAAGCAACACAGUUUAUCAAGGAGUCUUUAGCAACAUGAAAACGAACGUGUGUUAUUUGCAAACCAAGUAUAUCAUUACUGAACCUGAAUAUCCUUACUUUUUCAUAAGAUACAUGAAAAGAAAGAAGGAGAGAAGGAAGAAAGGAGGGCGGAAGGAAAGGAAGAAGGGAGAGAAGAAGAGAAGAAAGAAGCAGAGAAAGGAAGAGAAAAGAAAUUACGGCCAGUGCGGUGGCUCACGCCUGUAAUCCUAGCACUUUGGGAGGCCUAAGCGGGCUGAUCACCUGAGGUCAGGAGUUCGUAAGCCAGCCUGGCCAACAUGGUGAAACCCUAUCUCUACUAAAAAUACAAAAAUCAGCAGGGCAUGGUGGUGCGUGCCUGUAAUCCCAGCUACCUGGGAGGCUGAGGUAGGAGAAUCGCUGGAACCCGAGAGGCGGAGGCUGCAGUGAGUUGAGAUCAUGUCACUGCACUCCAGGCUGGGCAACAGAGUGAGACUCUGUCUCAGAAAAAAAAAAAAAGAAAGAAAGAAAGAAAGAAAGUUACCAUUAGUUUUUUGUUGUAUUUGCAAGCAAAGACAAAAGCACCAAGGUACUUGUUUCCUUCUGUAAUUAGAGUUUCAAAUAGACUAAAAGUUUCUGCUCUUAGGUGGGUCUAGAGACUCUCCAGUACCUCAGGACCUCAGGACACAUGGGGUCUCUUGGUUGUUUUCUUUUCAUUGUUGUUGUUUAUUUUAUUUUUGUUUUUAUUUUUUAACUUUAAAACAAUUUUUUGUAGAUGAAUAUGCUUACAUAUGUUUGGGGGUUUUUUUGAGACAGGGUCUUGCUCUGUUGCCCAGGCUGGAGAGCGGUGGUUUAACCACAGCUCACUGCAGCCUCGACCUCCCAAGGUAGGGACUGCAGGUGUGUACACUGGGGUGCACCACCACACCCAGCUAAUUUUUAAAUUUUUUUUUGUAGAUAUUGUCUCACUCUGUUGGCCAGACUGGUCUUGAAAUCCUGGGCUCGAGCAAUUCUCCUGCCUCGGCCUCGUAACGCGUUAGGAUUACAAGCGUGAACACCGCACCUGGCCAGCAUGUGGUCUCUUAACCAGAGGAGGCCUCUUCUGAACUAGGUAGAGGUCCUGAGAAUUGAUUCUGAGAGUAAAAGGCUCUUUGUUCUCCUCAGAGUAGAUUAGAAUCCCUAAUGAUAGAGCAUCUAUUAUUCCUCUAGUGGUCCAUGCCCAACAGAUUCAUCCAAGAAUAGAUGAAGAUCUUUGUAAUGUUGUGCAAGUAAUCUAAUCACCCCACAGAAGAGCUGUGACUUAAAUUAUCCCAGAGUCGGCCCACCUGUUUUCAUAAAGAUCAAUGUAACUUGUAAAUUUCUUCAGUUCUCCUCACCUAUCAUCAUUUGACUAACAAAACCCAGAAAACUAGGCUAGUUAUGGUGGCCUAUGCAUAUAAUCCCAACUCUUUGAGAGGCCAGGGUGGGUGGAUUGCUUGAGUCCAGGAAUUCGAGACCAGCCUGGGCAACAAAGGGAGACCCUGCCUAUAUCCCAGCUAUGCAGGAGGCGAGGCCAGAGGAUUGCCUGAGCCUCAGAGGUUGAGGCUGUAGUGAGCCAUGAUUGCCCCACUACACUCCAGCCUGGAUGACAGAGUGAGACCCUGCCUUAAAAAUAAUAAUAAUAGUAAUAAUAUUUCAUAAAGAUACAGGAAACUAGAUUAUAAUUGACAUUUUCAAAGUGAAAUACUGUCUAGAAUGGUGCUUGGCCAACAGUAAGCUUUUUGUAAGUGGAAGUCAUUACUACUACUAUUUCUUUCAUUAUUAUUACCAUUACUACUUUUUUUUACAAAAAAAAAACCCUGGACAACACACUGAAACCAUUACUACUUCUACUACUAUAACUUAGGUUGCACCUGAUAGAGCCAGCAAUUUUUCCAAGGUAUGACAAUGGCCAUAUGUUUAAUGAUAUAAUUCUAUGGCUCAGUGUAUCUCAGCCUUUUUAAACCCUGCUCUUCUUUUGACAAUUGUAAAAAUCUUAAACUGACCUCCAGUUGAAAUCCUCUGUCAAGAAGAUAUUGUCGGCCAGGGGCGGUGGCUCACACCUGUAAUCCCAGCACUUUUGGAGGCCGAGGUGGGAGGAUCACUUGAGGUUAGGAGUUCAAGACCAGCCUGGCCAACAUAGUGAAACCCCAUCUCUACUAAAAAUACAAAAAUUAGGCAGGCAUGGUGGUGUGUGCCUGUAAUCCCAGCUACUCAGGAGGCUGAGGUAGGAGAAUUGCUUGAACCUGGCAGGGCAGAGGUUGCAGCAAGCCGAGAUCACGCCACUGCUCUCCAGCCUGGGUGAGACUGUCUCAAAAAAAAAAAAAAAAAAGAAAGAAAGUAAGAAAAAGAAGAAAUCCCAAUCUCUUCUUUUAUGUGGAUUCUUCCUCACUUGAAUAAUACUUUUCUUCCCCAGUAUUCUCCAUAUUAUCCCAGAGUCAGCCCCUCUGUUUUUGUAAAGAUCUACGUAACCUCCUCUAAGUUUCCCAGUUCUCCUCACCUAUCAUAUCAUUUGGCUCAACAAAGGGCAGGAAGCUAGAUUCUAAUUGAUAUUUUGAGGCCGGGAGCAGUGGCUCAUGCCUGUAAUCACAGCACUUUGGGAGGCUGAGGCGGGCAGAUCACUGGAGGUCAGGAGUUCGAGACCAGCCUGGCCAAUAUGGUGAAACCUCGUCUCUACUAAAAAUACAAAAAAUUAGCCAGGCUUGGUGGCUUGUACCUGUAAUCCCAGCUACUCAGGAGGCUGAGGCAGGAGAAUAGCUUAAACCUGGGAGGAAGAGGUUGCAGUGAGCCGAGAUUGCUCAAUUGCACCCCAGCCUGGGUGACAGAGCAAAACUCCAUCUCAAAAACAAACAAACGAACAAACCUGAUAUUUUCAAAAUUGAGGCAAUUAUAACAGCUAUUUAGCCAAGCAUUAUGAUAGCAAUAAUAGCAAGAAAAUAAAUUAGUUAACAAAUGAGUCUCAGAAGCCCAAUGAUUUUUAUUUUAUUUUUAUUUUUUGAACUUUUAUUUUAGAAUCAGGGGAUACAUGUGCAGGUUUGUUACCCGGGUAUAUUGCAUGAUGCUGAGUUUUGGAGUAUGCAUGAAUCCAACCUGUCAUCCAGGUAGUGAGUAUAGUACCCAACAGAUAGUUUUUUUAACAUUUACUUCACUCCCUUCCCCAAUCUUGUAUUCCCCUGUGUCUACUGUUCCCAUUUUUAUGACUGUGCCAACAAUAAUUUUUUUUCUUUUUUCUUUAAAUAGAGAUGGGGGUCUCUAUUUAAAGAGCCUCCCAAAGUGCUAGGAUUACAGGUGUGAUCCAUUGCACCUGGCCCAUGCCAACAAUAUUUGAAACCCUUAUCUGCGUGUACAAGUUUGCUACUGGUUUUGUUUUGCUCAUUAAUACAUCCCAAGCAUCUAUACCUGGCUUGUAGUACCAGCAUGUAGUAGGUGCUUAAUAAAUAUUUAUUGAAUAAAUAAAUUAGUUUGACAUUAGUUUAACAUCUCAAGUAAAACAAAAUACCAUUCAAUUAAUUCUCUUCUUCUACUUUUUUCUUUUAAGAGAGACAAAUAGUCACACAUACAUCAGCAGGAGAGGAUACAAUUUCCUGUGUUUAAGUUUUUAUGAGUUACUUUAGUUCAAAUGUCACAGAAAAUUAUAUUGAACUCUUGACCAAUCUAUCUAUUUUUUCCAUUGGAGUAUUGACCCAAAUAAGAAAUAGCAUAAAGGAAAAAUUAUUUUUUGGCAGAAAAAUAUUCUCUCUAAAUUCUUGUGUGUUUUGUUUUGAUUUUUUCCUUAGUGACUGGAGGCCAGUUUCAAUCCACUGAAGCACAGAUUCCAAAUUUUCAAUCUGGUUUUCUUGAGUAGUGACUGAGUGCCAAAAAUGAAGCAAUGACACAACAUCACCAUCAAGACACUCCCCAGCACGCACACACAUGCCAGAGUCCAACACCAAGAUACUCCCCAGCACGCACACACACGCCAGAGUCCAGGCCAUAUUCGGGUGGCUUGCAAGCUUCUUCCCCCCAAGUAUUUACUCUCAAAAUAAUGGUUUUUGUUUUGUUUUGGUUUGGUUUGGUUUGUUUUUUUCCAAAUACAUUUCUUCCCUAUAUCUUUAACCAAUUCUCAUAAAAUUUUGUCUAAUACACUGGUCAGUGUAUUCCAGACCCUAAAAGAUAACAUAAUGAAACUAUCUAUGACUAAAAGGUAAUCAGGAUCUUCUACUUAUCCUUUUUUCCUCCCUCUUAAACUUUAAUUUUGAUACAUUUGGGAGUGAAAUGAUGACAAUAAAUGCAAAGUAAUUAUUGAAGAAACAGUAAUUUUGUAUUAGCUUACUGAAAAAAAAAAAAAAGAUAACCAAAUAUAUUUUGGCAGCCCCAAACGAGUCACAUGUGAAAUGCAGUGGGAGAGCAGUGUCCUGAAGGAAAAGGUGGCCUGCUGGACAGCCAAGAGAACAAACAUCCACUGCAAGUAAUAUGAGCUCUAAGUUUGGACUAGGCCUAUGUCUGCUCUGAGACUUGGGGCAAUUCACUUAAUCAGAGCCUUAAUCAGCUACGGACUAGCAAUAUCCAUACCCGCUACUUAUUUUGUAAAUCUCCUUUCUAAAGUUAACUCUAUUUAUUGUUCCAUAAUCCCAUAAAUUCUAGAAUCUUUUCCUGUUAUAGCCAAGUUGUCUAUCAUUGACAGAGAUAUUCACCUGGUUGUUUUGGCUUCUCUAAUCCUCCUGGUGAGAACACCUCCAAGGGAGCUUUCAGUGGCAUUUAAGGUCACUUGUGCUCUUGGUCCUAGAAACUGCCUUGAUAGUGGUUUUAGCUCACAUGAGGUAAGUCUUUAUUAUAUGCCCAACCUCUUUAUGCAUUACUUCAUUUAAUUGUAUACUAAUCCUUUGUCAUAGGUUAUCAGAGUGUUUGAUUAUAAGUUACAGGAAGAAAAAAAAAAACAAACUCCAAUUGACUAAAACAAUGGGGCAUUUUUUGACUCACAUAACAGAGAGUCUAGAGAGAAGGCACCUUCAGGUUUGGCUGAUGAAUCCUGUAUCUCUGCCUUGUCUCCAGGCCCCCAGGUUCUGCCUCUGUCCUGACAUCCAGUGUUGGAUUCCUCUUCACAUCAACUCCUCUCUGUAGGUUGGGCCAUCAGACCCUACCUCCUUAUUUAUGUUGAGCAAAGGAGAGAGAAUGCCUCUACAAACAAUGAAAAAAGUGAAAAAAAAAAUCUUUCUCCUCCUUAUAACUUUAGUUAGCUUAACUUUAGUCAGUUGCUUAGCUACUAAACAGUAGCUAUUGGGAGGUGGGAAGGAAUACUAUUGUGUAAUCAACUAAGGCUCAUACAGAGGAUUAGGGUUAUCUGAAUUGAUUUGAAUUAAUUAGAAUUUACUCUCAGAGCUGUGGCAAUUCCUUGAACCACACUGAUUGCUAUAAAGUGGAAGAGGAAUAGAUUGAAUUUUGGGGAGUCAACUACAAUGUGUACUACAGGAACAAAACCCAUCAGAAGAUGUCAGAAGAUAAGGAUUUUUGUCCUGAUGCUACACUUACCAGCUGUCCCUCAGUGUUCUACUUCUUAAAAAAAGAGAGAUGGAUAAACAGAGGCAACCCGAGGAUAAAGGCCUUGCUCAGUGUCACACAUUUCAGUCACUAAAUAAGACACAAUGGAUGCCAGUAUUCUCAUCCCCUCACAAAUAAAGAGCCUUCAAGCUCUUGCAGUCAACAAGAACUUUUGGAAUGAUUUCACUGCCUGAAAAGGCAGAUACAUAGGUGACACCCACAAAUAGGAAGAAAAUCAACCUGAACCUGAGUGUGUGGGCUCACUGACUCUAAGCAGUAGAGACAGAAGAAAAAGUUUUAGCAAAGAAGGGUUCUGAAAGAAAAUAAAUAUAGCUCGUUAUCAAGUGCUGUUUUUACACAGUAAAACAUGGGCAAAAUUACUCUUCUUUAAGUAGUAAUUCUUAUCUCUUGAUUAAGUCACCUACUCAUUCAUUUAAUAAAUACAUACUGAUUGUUUUCUAUGUGUUGAGCACUCAUCUCUGUAUUGGAAAUAUAAUAAUGACCAAAGUUGACAAUAGUAAUAACAAUAAUAGCUAAUAUAGCAGGCACUAAUAAUUAUUUGUUGAGUAAUAUGUCAAAAUUCAGUGUGAACAGCAUUCUAUUUGGGGCUGCAUCCACUGACUAUAACACAGCUAAUCUAUCUGAAAUGUUCCAGCUUUGGGCCUCUCUAACAGAAGAAGCUGUUGUUGGGCCUGCCUCUAGUUGGCGAUGCAUCCACCAAUGAGAAUGAAUUUAUGAUCGACCACUCUUCCUGUAAAGGCCGCUGGAACUGACAGCAUUGUGAUUUUCUUUUACUGUUAGUUUUAAAUUACUAGAACCAACUCAAUUACUAGAACGAACUUUACUUCUUUGUUUCCUACUUAUCAAAACAGUAAAAACAACAAGUAAAAGAAAUGCCAUCUUAAUAUUGUUUUGAUGACAAAACAGUAUUCCUUUUAGUUGUGCUUCAAAUGGAAUAAGAUGCAAACAGGCUUGGUAUGGUGGCUCACCCCUGUAAUCCCAGCCCUUUGGGAGGCCAAGGUGGAAGGAUUGCUUGAGGCCAUGAGUUUGAGACCAGCCUGCGCAACAUAGCAAGACCGUGUCUCUACAAAAAAUAAAAAAUUAGCUGAGUGUAGUGGUGUGUGCUUGUGGUCCCAGCUACUUUUGAGGCUGAGGAGGGAGAAUCUCUUGAGCCCAGAAGGUCGAAGUUGCAGUGAGCCGUGAUCGUGCCAUUGCUCUCCAGCUUGGACAACAAAGCAAGACCCUAUGUCAAAAAAUAAAUAAAUAAAAGACAUAAACAUAUCUGAGAUUAACUUUCAGUGGUAAAUUUGUUCCAUAUAUGAUUUUUAAGGUUAAAUGCUUUGGAAGCUUUAAAAACCAUUUCAGCCCUUUUAAAUGCCAACUUACACUGAUGAUGCUCUCAGAUGUUAGGAAAUCUUUUGAGCAGAAAAUGGAAGUGGGGGUGUUGAGGCAGGGAGGAGAGUGAUGCAAUAUUCCUUAGUGUCAUCCUGUGAUUUCACAAUUUGUUUUUCAAUCUGUUUGGACUUUCAAAAGGGAAGACUCUCAUAUGUCAACAAGCCCAUGAACUGAAGCUUAAAACACUGGAAACAACAACUGUAGAGUUUCAAGUAUAUGUACAUUUAUGUAUUCAUGUUCCUUGAUGGGAAUGCUGGCUGGUGUGAAUGUUCAAUCUCCUGAGAAAUGUAAAUUUUUCUCUGACAGAUUUAUUAGCUUGCUGUAUCUGAGCACAUGAGCAAAAACAAUGCCUAAUAAGAAAACUUUCUCUCUCCUUCAAAGUCAAACUUGGGAGAAAUGAAGGGAAAUCGAGUUUUCUUUGCUUGACAGUGUUCAACAUUCUUGUAGUCAGUGUGCUCAUGAAGAUUGCAAACUUUUUUUUUUUUUUAGAGCAGCUAGGACUACAGGCGCGCACCACCACACCCAGCUAAUUUGUGUAUUUUUAGUAGAGAUGGGGUUUUAACUAUGUUGGCCAAGCUUGUCUCAAACUCCUGACCUCAAGUGAUCCAUUCGACAGCUCUUUCUUUUUUUUUUUUUUUUUUGAGACAAAGUCUCGCUCUGUCACCCAGGCUGGAGUGCAGUGGUAUGAUCUCAGCUCACUGCAACCUCCGCCUCCUGGGUUCAAGCAAUUCUCAUGCCUUAGCCUCCCGAAU